rnacentral:rRNA from 1 species
AUUGAACGCUGGCGGCACGCCUAACACAUGCAAGUCGAGCGGCAGCGAGACUAGUAGCAAUACUAGUUGUCGGCGAGCGGCGGACGGGUGAGUAACACGUAGGAAUCUGCCCUUAAGCGGGGGAUAACCAAGGGAAACUUUGGCUAAUACCGCAUAAUCUCGAGAGAGCAAAGCUGCCCGCAAGGGUGGCACUUGAGGAGGAGCCUGCGUCCGAUUAGCUAGUUGGUGGGGUAAUGGCCUACCAAGGCGAUGAUCGGUAACUGGUCUGAGAGGACGACCAGUCACACUGGGACUGAGACACGGCCCAGACUCCUACGGGAGGCAGCAGUGGGGAAUAUUGGACAAUGGGGGCAACCCUGAUCCAGCGAUGCCGCGUGAGUGAAGAAGGCCUUCGGGUCGUAAAGCUCUUUAGGUUGGGAAGAAGUGUAUUGGCUGAAUAAUCCAGUACAUUGACGGUACCGACAGAAUAAGCACCGGCAAACUCUGUGCCAGCCGCCGCGGUAAUAC